rnacentral:rRNA from 1 species
AAGGGAGCGUAGGCGGGCUGUUAAGUCAGCGGUAAAAUGUCAAGGCCCAACCUUGUCCUGCCGUUGAAACUGGCGGUCUUGAAUGCACACAAGGGAGAUGGAAUUCGUCGUGUAGCGGUGAAAUGCUUAGAUAUGACGAAGAACUCCGAUUGCGAAGGCAGUCUCCUGGGGUGCUAUUGACGCUGAGGCUCGAAAGUGCGGGUAUCAAACAGGAUUAGAUACCCUGGUAGUCCGCACAGUAAACGAUGAAUGCUGGUUCUUGGCGAUAUACAGUCAGGAACUGAGGGAAACCAUUAAGCAUUCCACCUGGGGAGUACGCCGGCAACGGUGAAACUCAAAGGAAUUGACGGGGGCCCGCACAAGCGGAGGAACAUGUGGUUUAAUUCGAUGAUACGCGAGGAACCUUACCCGGGCUUGAAUUGCAGCUGCAUAGGGCAGAGAUGCCCUUUCCCUUCGGGGCUGCUGUGAAGGUGCUGCAUGGUUGUCGUCAGCUCGUGCCGUGAGGUGUCGGCUUAAGUGCCAUAACGAGCGCAACCCUUGCUGUCAGUUGCCAUCAGGUAAUGCUGGGCACUCUGGCGGGACUGCCAUCGCAAGAUGUGAGGAAGGUGGGGAUGACGUCAAAUCAGCACGGCCCUUACGUCCGGGGCUACACACGUGUUACAAUGGGGAGUACAGAAAGCCGGCCCGUGGCGACACUGGUCCAAUCCUAAAAGCUCCUCUCAGUUCGGACUGGAGUCUGCAACCCGACUCCACGAAGCUGGAUUCGCUAG